rnacentral:rRNA from 1 species
UCGCCUGUUUUUAUCAAAAACAUCGCCUCUUGCCCCUCCAAGUAUAAGAGGUCCCGCCUGCCCUGUGACAAAAAGUUUAACGGCCGCGGUAUUUUGACCGUGCGAAGGUAGCGUAAUCACUUGUCUUUUAAAUGAAGACCGGUAUGAAUGGCAUAACGAGGGCUAAGCUGUCUCCUUUUUCCAGUCAAUGAAAUUGAUCUGCCCGUGCAGAAGCGGGCAUAAAACCAUAAGACGAGAAGACCCUAUGGAGCUUCAGACACCAGGACAGCCCACGUUAAAAACCCUCUGCCAAGAGCACAAACUAAAUGACCCCUGUCCCCCUGUCUUUGGUUGGGGCGACCGCGGGGGAACAAACAUCCCCCACGUGGAACGAGGCCUACUAGCCUCCAAGACCAGAGCCACAGCUCUAACGCACAGAACUUCUGACCAACAAGAUCCGGCACCGCCGAUCAACGGACCGAGUUACCCUAGGGAUAACAGCGCAAUCCUCUUUUAGAGCCCAUAUCGACAAGAGGGUUUACGACCUCGAUGUUGGAUCAGGACAUCCUAAUGGUGCAGCCGCUAUUAAGGGUUCGUUUGUUCAACGAUUAAAGUCCUACGUGAUCUGAGUUUCAAGACCGGACGG